CCCACCUAUGUUGUUGGAGUGAAUGCUGACACCUACAACCCAGAUGAGCCUAUCAUCAGCAAUGCUUCUUGCACCACCAAUUGCCUUGCUCCUUUCGUCAAGGUUCUGGACCAGAAGUUUGGUAAUUCCUUUUAACACUAUAUUAAUAUAGAUGAUAUGCCCUAUUACGAGUUUCUGACUAAUGCUAAUGUAAUAUAUAUGACAGGUAUCAUCAAGGGCACCAUGACUACCACUCACUCGUACACCGGUGACCAGAGGCUUCUUGAUGCUAGCCACCGUGACCUCAGGCGUGCUAGAGCCGCAGCUCUCAACAUCGUCCCGACUUCAACUGGUGCGGCGAAGGCCGUGGCCCUUGUACUCCCUACUCUCAAAGGCAAACUUAAUGGCAUCGCAUUGCGUGUGCCAACACCAAAUGUGUCGGUGGUGGACCUAGUGGUCCAGGUUUCAAAGAAGACGUUUGCUGAAGAGGUGAACGCUGCUUUCAAAGAGAGUGCAGAGAAAGAGCUACAGGGUAUACUUUCAGUGUGUGAAGAACCCCUUGUUUCAGUGGACUUCAGGUGCUCUGAUGUGUCCUCCACCGUUGAUGCAUCACUCACCAUGGUCAUGGGAGAUGACAUGGUUAAGGUGAUUGCUUGGUAUGACAAUGAGUGGGGCUACUCUCAAAGGGUUGUGGAUUUGGCUGACAUUGUUGCCAAUAGCUGGAAGUGACUUCAAUGUGCUAUACAUACAUAUAUGCAUAACAAUGUCACCGAUGGUUGAUUUUUGCAUGCUCACUUCAUUUUUAUUCUUUCGGCUUCAGCAAUUUCUCAUUUUGUCAAGGCUACUAUAUAAUCUGUAAUGUAAUGUUGGAUACAUACAUUCUCUAAUAUGCUUAUGGAAUAAAAUUCUUACUUUAGCAUUCAUGCUCAAGACCCCUACCUAUAUCAAUUCUCGUAAUGAAUGCUUGGUGACCAUUUUUUUUUCUCGAAUACGAAAUGAGAGUAAAACCCAAAUUGAAAAAAACCAAUGUUAAAAAAAUUUGUUUAUAAAGAGUCACAUCAACAAUUUUAUUGAGUUGACCAUGCUUUUUCACUGAAAAUGAAUUGAAGAGGACUGAACAGAAAAAAGAUAAUAAUUGAAAUGGAAAUUAAGGGGAAGGUGCUAGAUCCAACACCAUUCAUCCUUGUAGAAGUAACACAGGUCCUGACUCGAAGAGCAUAUUUUAUGAACUACUUCAAACUACCAAACCUGCUUCAGCAGAAUUUAAUACACAAUCUUUUGUAAACAAAAGCUUUUACAUUUUUGGCUUCUUUAACCAUGUGUGAUGUGAUGAACUGAAAAAAAAAAGCGGCUAACAGAUAAAAGGCACGCAACUUCAGCCACCAUAUUUUCUUUUCUUGAAGUUCUUGCCUGAUGGCAAAGAAACAACAUUAUACCGUGAAUUACCAAGUUCUCGAGGAAUAAUAGCUCCAGAGGAUUUUAAAAUAUCUACAAACUCCGGAAUCAAUUUCUUAUCCUCAUCGUUCACAAAAACAAUUGCAUUACCCUCCUCCCCUAAUCUUGAUGCCCUACCAAUCUGAUGCACAUACUCCUUAAUGGAAUUGGGCAUAUCAAACACUAUCACCUGUCUCACAGCUAAAAGAUCAAUUCCGCGACCCAAAAUCCCAGUAGACACAACUACUGAUACUUCUCCAACUAAAAACAUCCUCAUUAUUUCCCUCCUUUCCUUCAUGGACUUCGUCCCAUGUAUUGACAAAGCUUUAAUUCCAGUGGUGGCUGUAAUUGCAUCAGACAGUAGAUCUGCCCCUGCUCUGGAACCCACAUACACCACAGCAGGUGGCCUAAAGUGUUUACUCCUUAAUAUGUCAAAAAGCUUUUGCUUUUUUUGUUUUGACUCAACCCAGAUGGCUAGCUGCUUCACAGCCCUACUCGGCCUGCUAGGCUUGCCAAUAGAAGCAGUAACAAUAUCGGUUGCCAUACAACUUGCUAUUUUCUCCACGUCUUGUGAAAUUGUUGCAGAAUACAUCAGUAACUGGGGUUGUGACAGAGCCCUAAAAAUCUGCAUCACCUGGUCCCAGAAGCCCCUUUGAAGCAUGCAGUCUACUUCAUCCAGACCAAAUAUCUUUACAUCAGUUAGUUCAAUAUCUUGCUUGGUUAAAAUAUCAAUAAGCCUGCCCGGUGUUCCAAUAAUUAGUUCCACUCCUUGCUGAAUGCGAUAGAGUUGUCUAGCAAUGGGAUCUCCACCAACCACAAGUGCAGUUUUGAAAGGCAAACCUUUUCCAAGCAACUUAGCUUGGUCCUCAACUUGGAUACCUAGUUCCCUAGUUGGUGUUAGAACCACCGCUAAUGGCUUUCUGAUAUUUGAGUUGUUGUUGGGGUAAAGUUUUGCACAAAGAGAAAUAAUAGGAAUAAGAAAGGAAGCAGUUUUCCCAGAGCCUGUGUCAGCUGAAACAAGAAGGCUUUGUCCAUCUAAAGCAGCUGGGAUUACUUGCAUCUGGACUGGUGUUGGCAUGACAUACCCUGCAGUUUCUAUAUUUUGUAGGAGCUUCUGAGGAAGACCACAGGAAGAAAAUGCCAAUACUGGAGCAGGAAUCACACCUCCUUUUACAUGAAUUUCAAGUUUGUUUCGAAGCAAUUCAGCUUGAUCACAAGUUAAAGAUGGAGAGCCUGACCUAUCAACAGAAUCUCUAACAUAAAAGCAUUCAUCAGUAGCAGGUAAUCGCUGAGUAGAUGAUGAGCAAACUGGCAAUGAGUUAGCAACCCUGAGGAGUAUGGCUUGUUUACAUUCCAAGCUGCAAAUAUCAUCAUCUGUCUCAUCACAUACAUACUCGCCAUAGCGCCCGCAAAUAACACAUUUAGGUUCAUCCGCCAGAGCAUCUCUCUGAUCUUUAGAAUUCAGUUUAACAUCAUCAUCUGCACAAUAGAUGGAAAAUUCAAUGUAGAAAAUACGUAAGUCUGAGCUUACUAUUCCAAGAAGCAAACAAGAAAGAAAGGAAAAAGAAGUGUCAUGAAUGGUCACACAACAUGCAAAGCUGAAGGUUCGCAAACAGAACACAAAAGGAACAUGUAACACACACGAGCAUGCACAAAAAAUGAAACAUGAUGAAAAAAAUAAUGGAUGGCUUAGGGCACAUUUUGAAAAGCUUGCUUUCUGUGUUGUUUGUCUGGAAAUACAACAAAAAUUGCGUUUAUCAGCCAAGUUUUGUUUCUAACUUUAAAAAAUAAUAAAACAGAGCAAACAAACACGUUUUCAGUUUCAAUAAAUUAAAAAUAAAAGAAAACAAAGACUUACAACUUUCGGAAUUCAACUUCCAACCACUUUUACUUAAGUACUAUUUUUUGUAUCAUUGUAACAAAAACAUAGCAAAUAAACGUGUUUUCAGUUUCAAUGAAUUAAACAUAAUAGAAAACAAAAAUCUCUGGAAACAUAAAACAUUGAAAAAGAGGCAAGAACCUGAACGACCCCUUAAUCACAAAUACUGGCAAUAAACCAAAAAUAAGGAGUAGAAAGCACUACAAAGAAAAAUAAGAUAGCCAAGAUAUGGGAAAUACACUACAAGAAUCAACAGGGAAAUAAUUUAACAAGUCAAAAGUGGUGUAUAAUUACCAAUCCCUUGAUAAAUAUCUUUCUGUAAUACUGAACUUUCACAAGGAUCAUUUCCAUUUCCACCCUCCAUGACAUAAGCUGGUUAAAAAAGAUCUAAUUGGCAGAAAUUCAAUAAUGAAACAAGGUGUAAAGUAGAAUACAAAUGCAGCCAGCUGUUUGGGAAUAGCAGAUAAAUGGAGUACUAAAACCCAAUGAAAUAUUUAUUAUCAGGCAAAAAAAGGGAAACCAAAAAAAAUCAGAGUCACUUGGAACUGGAUAUUCUACAUGAAAGCUGAUUAUAAAGAAUUGACUUAUACAAAACAACCAAAUGAAAAAAAUGAAGAUUGUAAGAGAAAAUGAUGAGGAGAUAGCCAGACAGGUAUAGUAAGUAAUAGUGAAAUCAUUGUCAUUUGCCACGGGUUAAAGAGGCAAUCACAUUCACUUAGAUAUGAGAAGAAAAGGGUAGAUGAGCUAACAUAUUGAAAGCUAUUAGCCGUUUGAUUUCACUAUCAGGAUUCAGGACAGGAUCAGCCUCUUUUCGCUCUAACCCAGGAAAAUAAACUUCAUUUAAACUUAUUAUUCUCUUAUUAAUAGCAUUAUGACUAGGCUAUCAACAACAAAAAGAAAUAGGGGUGACGACUUAGACAACCUGCACGGUAAAAAAGGUUAAGCAGCCAUUGCUAAUCAUCUUGUUUCCUCCUUGCGGAACAGAAUUCAACACUUUAUUUUCUUACAUUUAAUAUAUUAGUGUUACCAGUAUUUGAUAAGCAAUAAACAUCACAAUCAAAAGUUUUGUGAAAGCAAAAAAAGACAAAAAUAAGUUAUGGGUAUGCGGGAAGACAAAUGCAAAUCAAGGUCGCCCAGAUUUAAUUUAGUUUCCAAAGGGGGAAAUUAUAUAUACAGAAAAGAAAUAGAAGGAAGAAGAAAGGCGCGUACCGAAUAAAGGGAAUUGGAAUUUGAAAGGCAUGGCCUGGCCUGGCCGCUCUUUAGAACUUAUAACUACCAGCAAUCAACUAUGGCGGUUCAGCCUAUCUCCUCUUCUGCAAUCUGCGGUAUGCACCUGGAAAAUUGUUAACGUCAGGAAUUGGAACGCCAAAGGCCGAAACAGGAAGACAGGAAGCGAACUCGCGCGCCAACCUCUUCAACCCAACCCAACUCAACUCAACACAUAGACAAUAUGAGUCUAAUCAUAAUGGAUUUGCUUAUUUCAGUUUAUUCUGUAAAAUCAACUGAGCAACUUGGGCUAAGACUACCUUUCUUUCCUAUCCCCGAAUUGCGUAACCCUAAGAGAUAGUAAUGGAGUUUGGACUGGAAUAGGUAUUGUGAAUUCACCAUCACUAUAUUAUUAACAUGUUUUACUUCAGCGGUGUUGGAAUCGAAAUAAAUAAAUUUUUUGAAUUAAUGGAAUUCAUAACUCUCAUUUUAUUAUUUUAAUUUCAUCAAGUUAAAUGGAAUAAAAUUAUUUUAAUUAAAUUAAAAAAUUAAAUAUUUCAAAUUAAAAUUUUAUUACAAUAUAAUUACUCCAUUCAAACUAUAUAAAAAUCUUUCAAAAUAAAAUAAAAAAAUAAUAAUAAUAAACUUGAAUAAUUAAUUUACUUAUUUAGGUUUCAAAAAUUAUUAUUUUAUAAUUAUUUUAUAAUUAUUUUAUAUAUAUUUUUUAAUUUUUAUAAUUUUUUAAAAAUAUGAAUUUUUUAAUUUUUAUAAAUAUUUUAAUUUUUUUUGUAAUUUUUGGUGAUAGAAAGAUCAAUUUUAAAAUUGACAAAAACCAAUAUUUAUAGUAAUCAAUUAUUCGAGUUAUUUAAAUUGUAAAAUUAAUUUGAUUUCAACUCGAAACUUAAAUUACUUACUUGAGUUUACUUAAAAAAACUAAAAAAUAUAAAUAAUUCAAUACGAUUAAAUCGAAAUUCUAUUUUUUUAUUUCUUCGAUACAAACGAGUUUUGCUCCGCAACCCUCUGCCAUACAUGUUAAAAUAAAUAAUAUAAUUCAUUGAAAUUUAUUUAUAAUUUGUUUAUUUUUCAAAUUAUAAAGAACUUACCCUAUGAUCCAUGUUACUAAUAAGGUUUUAUUGACGAUUUAGCUGCUAGAUUAUACAUCCUUUUCACUUUAAUACUUAAUAGUCGCUUGGCUAUUUAAAAUACUUAUUUAUCCCAAUUUAUCUCUUACAAGUUGGAAUUAAACCUUUCGAGCUGAACUAAGACAAAACAAUAAUUUAACUAUUAGAUUGAAUAAAAAAACUUAGGGUUAAAGUAUGCAACAUGUCCUUAUAUUUUUUACAAAUUUAGAAAUUAGUCCUUGCACGUUUAUUUUCAGGAAUUUAGUCUUACUUUUCCUAUGUCAAAAUUCAAAGUCAAUUGUUAAUAUUGUUAUUUUGUUUUUUUUUUUUAAAAUUUGUUCAUGUGAGAUUUUGAUAUAAAACAUAUUCACUUGAUAGCAAUAUAGCUAAAAAAUGACAUUAUAAUAAACCUGAAUUUAACAAAAUAAUUUGAACGGUGUUAAUAGAGUGACUAAAUUUCUAGGAAGUUUAAAUAUGCCAAAGGUCUUUGUACUCUUUGAAAAUUUAAAAUUUAGUCUCAAUACUUUAAUUUUGAGACAUUGAGUCUUUGUACUUUUUUAUUUAAAAAUCUCAGUCCCUCCAUCUAAUUUUGCCGUUAAAGUUAAUGAUUAUUGGGGUAAAACUGAAUCAUGCAAUGAACACGAAUGAAAAAUGAGAAAAUUGGACACAUUUAUGUGGAAAAACCUUUCUAAAGAGGAUAAAAAAUCACAAGUAAAGAAAACUUCACUAAAACGACAAAAAAAAAACCCGAAGAAGAGUACAAGAUGGAGAAGCAACCAAAUUCGAAAUUCCCAAAAUACGAAGUUCUCCCGAAAUUCCCACAAACUCUCUCUUAAUUUUUGCUAUUGAAUCUCUCACUCUAGGAUUGCUAAAAGCCUUAUUUAUAGGCUAUAAUUUGUGACUAAUUUGAUUAGAAAUAUCCUAGAGUAAUUAGAAUUUGACAGGGAAAAGAUAGCAGAGUUUAACUAGGAGAAGAAACCCAAUUAAGUGGGGAAUAUGUUGCCACAUCGUGAUGUCGCUAUCAGCUCGUCGGGACAUCACUUGUUGCCUCAUCGGGACGACAUGUUCUUCUCAUUGUGACGCCGUGUGUCGCGUCGUUGGGAUGUCGACUCUUACUCAUAACAAUGUCGUCGUCUAUUCAAUCGAAAUGUGAGACACACUCCACAAUGAUGUCAAAGGUAAAGUAACUUUUUUAGCCCUCAACAUUUACAAUUUUUUGUCAAUUUGGUCCUUGUCCUUUAAAAGAGCAUAAAAAAUUAAAAUAUAUAUAUAUAUAUAUAUUCCAUUUUUAAAUAAAAAUAUAAAAUUACAUUUUUUAAAAAAUAAAAAUUAUGAAAAAAACUCUUUAAAAUUUAAAAACUAAAAAAAAUUAAUUAUAAAAAUCCAAAAUUCAAUGUUAUCUAAAUCAAAUUAGGCCAAGCAGUCAGAUUGGUUGGAUUGAGAACCAAUUGGAGUAACGGUCCAGUUUGAGGUAAAAAUUGAUCGACCCAUGAGCUAUGUACGAAUUGGUUGAAUUAAGCUAUAAAAAUGAUUAAACUAGUAGUUGAAUCAAUUUCAAAUUUGUCGGGCCAAUUAGUUUCCAAAACCACUCACUUGAUUGGCUUAAAAGCAAAUUAUAAAAAAAAUAAAAAAUAAAAAAUUUAAAAUUAUAAAAAUCGAUUCAACUUCUAGUUUAAUUGUUUUUUAACCUAGUUCAACUAGUCCAUAUUGAUUCGUGAGUCAACCAAUUUUUUACCUAUCAUAGAAUCGAUACCCCAGUCUGUUCUUAGUCUAACCGAUUUAGUCUAACUUAGAUAAUAUUGAAUUUUAGAUUUUUUUUAAAUUUAAUUUUUUUAAUAUAAAAAAUGUAAAGUUUUAAAAACAUUUACGUACUUUUAAAGCGUAUAGACCAAAUUGACAAAAACCUGUAAAUGUUUAGGGCUAAAAAUGUUUAAAUUUUUUAAAAACUGAUUGACCCAGAACCAAUACGAAUUGGUUGAACCAGGUUAAAAACCUAAUUAAUUUGACAAUUAGAAUCGAAUUUUAUAUAUAUAUUUUUUAUUUUUAAUAAUUUAUUUGCUAUGAACCGGUCAAACUAGUCGUUUAGGGGAUCAAUUGGUCAAAUCAGUUUUCAAAAUUGAUUCAACAGGUUUUUCUGUAACGGUUCAAGGCCCAAUUAGUUUUUUACCUCUCAUCGGAAUGAUACCCUAGUCAGUUCUUAAUCUGACUAGUUGGUUUGGUCUGAUUUAGAUAACAAUGAAAUUUGGAAAAUCUUAUGUAUUUAAAAUCAUUUUUAUUUUUGAAUUUUAAAGAGUUCUUAUUUUUCAUAAUCUUUUUAUUUUAAAAUUAUAAUUAUAAUUUUUAUUUAAAAUAUGAAAAUUUUUAAUUUUUUUAAAUUAUACUUUUAAAGAGUAACAAUCAAAUUGACAAAAAAAAACUAUAAAUAGUGAUGGCUAAAGAAAUUAUUUUAGCUUUACCAUCAUUUUUCAUCACUUUAAUGAGAAAAAUAGAGGAAAUGAAGGCUAAAUAAGGCAUAUAUGUCGAUUUUUUAUUUGGCCUUUUAGGCCAUUUUUUUAAUUUAGGGAAAUAGGUCAUUUUUGGAGAGAGUGUGUGAAAGCACCCCCAGCUCAUUGGAUUUUUUUAUGGUUAGGAUUUUUUUAAUUUUGUUAGGGUUAGGGUUUUUUAAGAAUUAGAGUUAUGGUUUUAGGCGUGAAAUCGCGAAAGUUUAUUGGUAGAUUUGAGGUGUUAGGGAUGCAAUAACCCAUGUUGGGGAUGCAAUAACGUGACUCAGAACACAUACAUUUCAUAUGUCAUGGUGGGAUAGGACCAUUACAUCAGAAACCCAUCCUGUGGAAGUUAGAUUUCGGGUGACAGUGUUUGAUAUGGCCAUGGGCCGAAGUUUAAGUGGAGGUCUCAGAUGGGGAUCGUGAUGCGAUUACAGGUUUAAGUAUAAUCGGAGGCCAGUUGACUAUCAUUAUGUGGUCAUGAGUUCAAACUUUUUGGAUACCUGUAAAUUAUGGUUUAUAUAUACCAUACAUAAGACUGAGGUCAUAAUCAUAGGGAAAAACGAAGGGCUUUUGGGUAAAAUCAACGUAAUUUUUUUCUCUAUUUCCAGGAAGCUGGUAUCUUUAACCUUUCAUUCUUAGUCGAAGGUUGACACUGAGGUGGAUACAAGAGGAUUCUCAGAAAGAGAGUGGAUGUUCCGUUGGAGUAAAUGUCAAACUCAGUUUGGCACGACAACGGUUGUAGUUAUUAAUGAGUUGUUUAAUAACGACAACCGUUGUCACCCUGAAAAGAGUAUCACCUUUACUCCAACGUUACAGUUGCUAUCCGUCUGAGAGUCCUCCGUGUCUACGGCGGUGUUGAUAUUCAAGUAAGAAGAAAGAUUAAAGAUACUAGUUGUGUGGAAAUAGAGAAAAACAUUAUGUCGAUUAUAGCGGGAAGUCCCAUAAUUUUUCCUUAUGAUUAUGCCCUUAAACUUAUAUAUGGUAUUUAUAAGGGAAAAUUUUAGGGCAUCCAAAAAUUUUGAGCUCGUGGCCAUGUAAUGAUCGUCAAUUGGCUCCCCUGUUAUACUCCAAUUCAUGACCGCAUAAUGGCCGUCGAUUGAGAUCUCUACGUAGACUUUUCACUCGUGAUUGUACAAAGCAAAGUAACCCCAAAACCUAACUCCCACAUGAUAGGUUUCGGAGGUAAUGGUCCCAUCUUGGCAUGAUAUAUGAAAUGUGUACGUCUCGGAUUGCAUCAUCGAUGACUCAAGACUACCUCGAACUGGAAAUUAUAUUAGCGAAAUUUUUUUAACACUGAAUCGAAGAAUAAAAUGAAGAGAGAAAAAUAUUGUAAAAUUGAGGGAUAGAGGGCAGGAGAUAUGUUUUUCGAAUAAUGAAGUAUAGAGGGAAGCCCCCUUUUAUAGACACAAGGGAAGAGAGAGAUUGCAAAAGAAAAAAUCUUGUGGUCGAAAACGUGUUGCAAGACCAAUGUUUUCAUCGAUUAUCUUUAAAACGUGCUUCAAAACUGCCAAAAAAUUGUUGGGGCCAAGUACCUUUUUUUAGGCUUUAUGAAAAUCUUAGUGAAAACUCGUCCGGUUGGGCAAGCUUCUCUACUAACAUGGCAGGAAAGUACAUCUAAAUGGACGAGUUUUCACUAACAUUUUCAUGAAGCCCAAAAAAAAGUACCUAACCCCGACAAUCUUAGGUAAAAUUUGAAGUACGUUUUCAAACACUAAAUACCCUCUAAAGCACACAUCUGAUUUCAAUUAGUUAUUUGUUAAACGUAUUUUUGAGCAUCGAAUAGCAUUUCAUUAUCAUUAUUCCAGGAAAGAGCUUCAUCAGAAACGAAUUUUGAAGCACGUGUUACCUUUCUCCUAGUUAUAUUUUGCUAUUAAAUUACCAAAAUAAUCAAAGCUUAGGCACGCAAUAAAUUCAUAUCAAACAUCGAAGAGUUAAGUUGUGAGAGUCUUCUGCAUUUCUUUAGAUAAUCGUUUAAAGAUUUAUUUUAUAGGAAAUAUCCAAUUCAUUUUAAAUUGAAAUGAGUCGACGAGUGAAAUUUAUCAUUUAUUACGACGGUCAAAUCUUUAAUACUAAAGUCGGGGUCGUAUUUGCAGGAGCCCAAUACAUGGAAUUAACUUUCAACCGUAUCAUUCAAUUGCUUGAGCUACGGAUUAGAAUAAGGAAGAAAGUUGGGGGUUUGAGCUAGGGAAGAAUUUCAAGCUUGUAAUGUAGAUAUCUGGCAUCGGUUGACCCUAUUAAGUAAAACUAUUUGAUGUGAAAGGCGAGUUCGAGCUGAAGGAGGUCAUAUCAUUGCAUUGCUCGAGCGCAAAUGCUGUAAUAGAGUUAUAUGUUGAGUUUGUCGAGGCUGAUAGAGUUGGUCCAUCUUUAGCCACUGUUAUUACUACUGUUGGAACUGAAGCUAAAGUAGGAAGUCCUACUACACGGUUGUGCAAUGGGUUCAUUGGUUUGUUACAAAGCUCCUACUAUGAUGUCCUUGAAACAUAAAUGGGUAGACAUUUUUUGGUUUUCGGCACCAAUUUCAAUUUCAGUGGCUACUAUCAACUAGGGUAUGACCGUAACCCAAACCUUGACACUAGAGCAAGACAUUCAAUUAGUGCGUUCGAUUUCAACUUCGGUGGAUCAAUGUCCUAAGGUUGAAAAACUUAUAUGGGGGGCCAUCAACCUAUACCGUUUCACAAUCCGAUGCAGAUUUUUCGGGUACUUGAGGUAUAGAAGAAUCAAUGACUUACUUCCUACGAUAUGGUCAGACGAGAGUAUAUUGAACCUUUUAAUUGAAGAUGACAAUGAAAGUGUAGAUUUAAAAGAAGGUUGUAACAACUCAAUUUUUAGUGGUGUCAGAAACAAUGGUUCAAGACCACCAAAUUCGACGAGUAAGCUUGUAAAUUUUAUUAUUUAGUAUUUACGAGUCCAAUGUGGUUUUAGAAAUAUUUUUGAACCAGUAAUUUGUGUUUUUAUAAGGAUUUAUUAGGUCAAGCAGUUUAGAAAAUGAGGUAUCCAAACCUCAAUUCCACAAAUUGAGCCAUAAAUAUUUUUAUAAAUGAUUAUGGAGAGUCAUUAAGGUAGUAUUAAAGUUUCGUUAGAAAAUUUUAACGUUUUGAUAGUUAAUUAAUUAAAAAGGACUAAAGUGAAAAAAGGUGCAAAACUUGCUAAUUAAAGAAAUAGUGAUUAAAUAGACCAAAUAAUUAAAAGGACAAAUAGAAACAUAUGGGAUGGUUGAGGCAGCAUAAGCAGAAAAAAAUAAUGAAAUUAUGUUAUUUAAAGGCAAAAUUGGAAAUAAAAUAAAAUAGCCAAAAUGAGAUUCUAAUAGUUUCUAGACCAUUUCUUCUCCAAUUUUCUAUCCAAAAACACCAUUGAAGAGCUCUGAAGGGUGGUUUUCAUAUUUUAGCUUCAUGUAAGUUUAAUUCUUGCUUUUUUUGUAAUUCUUGUGUUUUUAAGACUUUUAUAAUUAGGUCCAACUAGCUAUUUCAUUAUUUUUUUUAUUUUAUUGGAAAUUUUGAAAGUUACCGUUGAUGAAUACUGGAUGUUUCUGAUGAAAUAACAUGGAUUUAGAGCUUUAAUUUUGUUGUAUGAUGAUUUUAUAAAGUGAUUUUAUUAGAUGUUAAUUUUAGGACCAAAUUAUGAAAAGACUAAAUAUUAGGGUUUGGUAUUAAAUUUUCGUUUAUCAAGGACUGUAUGAUAGCCUAGAAUAUUUAGAUAAAUUGUCAAUUGAGAAAAAAUUAAUUCAUUUGAUAGACUAAUUAAUAAGGGACUAAAUUGCAAAAGUUGUAAAGUUGGGGUAAUUGUAUAAAUUCAAAAAAAUUGAGGGGUAUUAAUUGUGAAGUGAAUUGGAACUAAAAUAUAUGCUAAUGAAUGAGUAAUUUUAUAUUUUAGAUCAAGAGCCUAUAGAUAUUUGUGAAAAAGGAAAAUUAGCAGAAUAGUCCCUGGACUUCUGCAAAUUUUACGACUUAAUCCAGGUAAGUUCGUAUGGUUAAAAUUAAACAUUUAUAUACUAAAUUGAUGAAUGAUAUUCUGUAUUUAUUCUAUUAUUGAAGUUGAAAUAUUGUUAAAACUAUAAAUUUGAAUUGAAUAUCUGAAUUAAAUGGAACGCGGGCUUUAAGUACAUUCGGCAUGCGAUGAAUUGAUGACAUUGGAGAAAAAUGUGGACAUUUACCCAAGUAAAUUGAGGUUCAGCUUUUGUUGCGAACUUUCAUGUUUACUUUCCGUUUAGCUCUCACGAGCUUUUGUUUAACUCAUACGAGUUUCCAUUUAGCUAUUUUGAGCUUCUGUUUAACCCUUAUGGGUCUCUGUUCAGCUCUUAUGAGCUUCCGUUCAACCCUUAUGGGUUUUCGUUAAGCACUUAUGUGCUUCCGUUCAGCCUUCGGGCUUCUAAAAAUGAUGUACUCUUAUCCAUAAGUCGUUCUCCGAUUUGGUAAGAUUUGGUAAGUGACUCAUGUAAUUAAAAUUGAAAGAUUUAUUGUUUAUUAUUGAUAUUGAUCUGAAAGAAAUGUGAUCUUUGAUUAAAAUUGUGAUUGACAGGGAGAUUGCAUGAAUAAUUUCCUUAUUUGAAUUGUUAAAUUAGGUUCAGUAAGAUUUACGUUUAACCCAUCAAACUUACUAAGCUUCAUUAAGCUUACUUGUAUUGUUUAAUGUCCUUGUAAAUUAACGUGAGGUCCGGAGAUCGGAUCAACACAUCAAGUCACACUAUCCCAUUCAUCCCGGUAGCCUUUGAAAUGUAUACUAUGGUUUAUAUGGCAUGUAUACGGUUGGUAUGGAUUUGACUAAAGCUUGGUUUGUAUAAAUGUUAGGAGUGAAGUUUUGUUUAAAUAAUCGACUUAAGUGUAUAUAUGUGAUGUUAUGUUAUGCUAAAAACAUGAUUUUGGCUUGUUUUGAAUGCUUUGUUGUGAGCUAAUUGAUGUGUGAAAAUGUUGUGUUUAGAGUGCUACUUAAAAGGGUAAGAAAAGUGGCCAUGAAAUGGCCUAUUUUCAUCCACAUGGGCAGAGACACGGGCAUGUGUCUUAGCCGUGUGUGACACGUGGCCUAGCACUUAGGCAUGUGGUCUGGCCGUGUGUCACCUACAUCCUUAAAAUUAAGAAACAGAAUGCCCAGGUAUUUUCACACGGCCUAACACACGGGCGUGUUUCUUGGUUGUGUGACCCUUGCACUUUAAUUUAAUAAGUCAGUGUGCUCACACAGCCUAGUACACGGGCAUGUGACUUGGCCAUGUGACCCAAGUCAGAGAGUUACAUGGGCAUGGACACGCGUUGGUACACGGUCGUGUGCCCUUCUUUGAAUGCCCACAAGACCUGAGACACGAACGUGUCUCUUGACCGUGUGAGCCACAUGACCUGGUCACAUAGGCGUGUGUCCCGUGCACUUAGGAAAAAAUUUGAAAUUUUGUGAAAAAUUCUUUGAGUUUCUGAUUUAGUCCCAAUUUGUUUCUAAAGUGUAUUUUGGGCCUGAGGGCUCAUAUAAGGGACAAUAUGAGUGAUUUAUGAUUAGUUUAUGAUAUGUAUGUUAAAUAAUAUAAAAUAGUCGUAAUAGAUCUAAAAAGUUCGGUAAUGCUCCGUAACCCUGUUCCGGCAACGAAUAAGGGUUAGGGGUGUUACAAAGAUGCAGCCGAGGAAGAAGGGACAACGGUUGCAGUUGACAGAUCAGAGUAAGACCCUAAUCCAAUCCGAUAGUUUAGUUAGGAUGGUUCGAAAGUAACACUUUUUUGGAACAAGAGUAGGUUUCAAUUAAACUAGAACCUUGCGUUUCUGACGAUGACUAUUCUAAUAAUACUCUAAAUCCAGAUCUGCAGUUCAGGGCAUAUGAACACCCGCCCCACAUGACCAACAUUGACCUCUCCGUUGAGGGUGGUUUAGAGUUCCGAUAGCUACCACACAAAAUACUUGACCAUGCAAGCUCGUCGUUAGAUGUCCAAGUAUUAGAAGUUGACAUGAAAUACCCCAACAAAGGUGUUUUUCUUGUUGCACUGAAAUGAUACAACUUUAAGAACGGUGUGAACUAUCAUGUCACGAAAUCUCAUUUGAAGAAAUUCAAGGGAAAUUGCAUAAUGUGCGAUGGGGGUACAAAUGGAAAAUCAUGGUAUCUUUUCGGAAGAAGACAAGCUUGUGGAUGAUAAAGAAGUAUUAUGGUCCACAUACAUGUGUUGUAGCAUGUGCGCGAUGUGUUCACCCAAUAUUCUGACAUAAUGUGUCAUGACUGGGGUCUUUGUUUUUCAUAGUCACUUAACUUUAACUCGUAUUUUACAUGUGUAAGUCAGGAUCAUCCAAGGCUAGACUUCGACAUGAUAUCUGAAAUUAUUAUACCUAUGGUGAAGACGAGUCCCAAGAUUCCUAUCCCAGUGUUGAUUGCCAACAUUCGUAGCCAGAAAUAAAUACACGCCAUCGUAUUACAAAGCAUGACUUGCAAAACAAAAGGCUAUGGAUAAGUUGUAUCACGACUGGGACAGGUCAUACAAUGGUUUAUGAAAAUGGUGUUAAGUACUGGAUCGGUACAUAUCAGGUUCCUUAAUUGAUAUAGAAACGCAUCCAGGGUAUUUCGGCAAUCAUCUAGUCUCUAAGAAAAAAAUAUUCUACCGAUUCUUUUGGACCUUUAAUCAAUGCAAGGAAGCUUUCCGGCACUGUAAGUUUUUGGUAGAAAUUGACAACACCUGAUUGUACGGGAGGUAUGAGCAUCAAUUGUUGAUGGUCGUUGCCAAGGAUUGUAAUCGUAAGAUUCUAUUGAUAAUGUUUACAAUAACUCCAAGAGAAAUGAGAGAUGAUUGGGAUUUUUUCCUUAGUUAAUUGGGCCGUCAUGUUUGCCUUUAGCCCGACAUAUGUGUCAUUUCCGACAGGGGACUAGGAAUCUUAGCCGCUAUUGAAAGACAUGGUAGCCUUUAGGAUCGCAUGUAACACCCCUAACCCAUAUCCAUUGUCGGAAUAGGAUUACGGAGCAUUACCAAAAAUUUACAGAUUAGAUAUAAUCAUUUCGUAUCAUUUAACAUUCAUAUCAGAAAAAAAUCAUAAUAAAUCAUAUUGUCCCUUAUAUAAGCCCUCGAGGCCCAAAAUAUGCAUUAGAAACAAGUCGAGACUAAACCGAGUAUUCAAAGAAUUUUUCAUAAAAUUUCAAAAUUUUUCCAAGAUACAAGGGACACAUGCCUGUGUGGUCAGGCCGUGUGACUAACACGGCCAAGAGGCACGCUUAUUUCUCAAGUCGUGUGGGCAUUCGAAAUAGGACACACAGUCGUGUCCCAGCCCCUGUCCGUACCUGUGUAACUCUUUGACUUAGUUCACACGACCAAGCCAGAUGCCGGUGUGCUGGGCCAUGUGAGAAAUUUUGAGCAUUCUAUUUUGAAAUUUUAAAGAUGCAGGGGACACACGACCAAAACAUGCCAUGUGCUAGGCCGUGUGUCACACAUGGCUGAGACACACGCCCGUGUGGAAAAAUAAUGCCAUUUCUAGGCCAUAUUUCUCACCCAAUUUUAGCAUCAACCUAUCACAACAAAUUUGUACACUUACAAACCAUAUCAAAGCACUUAAAACAUUCCAAAAUCAUGUCUUAAACAUGAAAUAUUACCACAUACAACCAAUGUGCUCUUAGGCACCAAGGCAUCGCAAAUGACAAUUUAUUAUUAUGUUAUCCUGAUACUCAUAUUUAUCUAGGUACCAAAUGCAUCAAUGCAUAAUCAAAUUCAAACUUCUAACAUGAUAAAUCUACUUAUAUAUAUAUAUCAAAACAUAACCAUUAUAAGCCAUUCCAAUAGCUAGUUAUAACAAAAUACUUAUAAGCCAACAUUGGCUAAUUAACCUAUACAUACCAUUAUAACGAAAUUAAUUUACUAUUUAUACCAAAAUGAGCCGAUGGAUAGUGUGAAUGAUCUCCGCGAAGCUUCCAACCCAACGAGCUUCCAAAUACUAUAAGACAGGGGAAAAUAAAAUAGAGUAAGCUUUUAAGCUUAGUAAGUUCGUAUAACGAGAAAUUACUUACCAUUCAUUUACUGAUGCGUGAUAUUUAUAACAGGUUUUAAAGAUUUAUAAAUGAAACGUUCUUGAGACUAACUUAUUAUCACAUUAAGGCAAGUGUACCUAUCGAACAGUAGUAUAGCUCAGCAAGACCGGAUUGUCGAACCCAAUGGAACUACGAGAACUAAUAUUUACUUCUUUUUUAUUAUCUAGCCUAAAAUUUAAGAGGUUUGGUUGUCUAAAAUAAUUACUAACUAAGAAUGCACAAAAAGAAAAAAUUGAGAAAAUUCUUUUGGGAAAAUUCGAUUGAUUGAGACAAUACCUAAGGACAAAUCCACCUAGACUUCACUUGUUAUUUGACUCUGAAUCAGACGAUUAUUUCAUUUGACUUGAUCCGUAGAAAUCCCUAAGUUAUAUUAUUAUCUCUCUCGAGACUAAUAACGUUUAACCCUAGGUUGAAUAAUUGGAAUAUCUCUCUAAUUAACACCCUAGAAUUGCAUUAAGUCGAUCUAUGGAUUCCCUUAUUAGGUUUCACCCUAAUCCAACAAAAUCUUGUCACCCUAUCUCUAGGCGCGCAAUCAGCUCCGCUUAACUAUGACAAAGUUACUCUUAGACAGGGUCUAUUCGUCCUCUGAAUAAUAGCUUAACUUGAAUCAAUAUCCUGGAAUAUGAAAACAAGAAUUAAGUACACAUAAUUAAGAACAAGUCAAAUAUUUAUCAUACAAUUCAGAUAAUAAUAAUAAGAUUUACCUUAGGUUUCAUUCCUCUUAGGUAUUUAGGGGUUUAGUUCAUACUUAUGAAAGAAAACAUCUCAAAAGCAUAAAGAUAACAAAAUAUAAGAAAACCCAAAACUCCUGAAGGAACUUGAAGGGAGAUCUCUAGUCUUGAUGAUGAAUCCAGCUCUUGAGAUGGAUCAAUCAGCUUUCCUUGAGUAAUUCCCUACUUCCUCCUCUCCUCCCCUCCUAAGUGCCUCAUCAAGUGUUUAAAUAGGUUUUGGAAUGCUUAAGAGCGCUAAAAAUUGGCCUUUUCUGAAUUGGACUAAACUUGGGUUCGGCAGGGACACGCCCGUUUAACACGCUCGUGUGUGAUUCCUAAAGGUCAUGGUCAAGGCUGUUAAAUGGGCAUGGGCAUGUGAUCCACCUGUGUAAGUCGUGCUUCGAUCCUGCCAAAUUGACACGGCCGUGUGACACGGCAGUGUAAGGAAGUCCAGGCCAUUUAUUUUCCCAUGUGGGUCCAUUUUCUACGUUUUUAGCCUAUUUCUCACUCUUUUUACUCUCCUAUGUUCUUCUAAGUAUAAAACAUGAAAUUAAAGGAAUUCACCAAAUCUAAGGAGAAACCAUCCAUAAAUGCGUUAGGCAUGGGGUAAAAAUAUGUAUAAAUUAUGGUUUAUCAAAUACCCCCACACUUAAGCAUUUGCUUGUCCUCAAGCAAAACCCUCAACUCACAAUCAAAAUAAAUUCUUCUUAACUUAUAAUUCCUAUUAAUAAUAUCUCAAAAUAAUCCAUAAGUAAUCAUACAUUGAGAAUUUGACUGAAAGAACAUCAAAGUUCCAAAACAUUCCAAGUUGAGUAUUUUAUCAUGAAAGCAUAGGUGUCUCCCCUGAUCUAAGUAGUUACCUUCGACUCAAAAUAUCACAGGGUUUCACAUCCUCACUAAAGAUUCACUCAAAUCACUCGAGGUGUUUAAAGACAAUACAUGAAGCACUCAAUAGUUAAUAAUGGAAAUUCAUUACCAUAAGCUUGCAUGAAAAUCGAAUCUCCACCACUAUAUAUUGAAAUGAACAUUAAUGAACAGGUCUUUAAAGGGUUGUAACUUGGCUUUGGUUAGGGGUGUGGUCACAAGCUGAAAGAAAAGGUUAGAAUUGAGAUUAAAUUGAAAAAUUGCCUAACUGGAAAAAGUACUUAAACAUCAAUUGAGUACAAUUGAGCUUCUUCUCAGAAGAUAGAAUUUAGAUACUGCGGCUCAACAUUACUGAAUUACUACUAAUAUGUAAGUAUGAAUGUUUUUUUUAAAAACAAGUCAAAUACAUAUAAGAGCAAAAAAUAGCUAAGCAAUUAGUUCAAAUCAAAUCUCGACAAAAUAGGGAUCAAAUUAGGGGAUUUCAACAAUAAUGGUUUAUGGGUUAAUAUUGAGGGUAAAUCAAUUAAUGGCUUGUUAGGCUCAAAGGGGUUUACUAAGGGUUAAUUAUGAAGGUAGGCUUUUGUGGAGUGAGUGGGUUAAACCUAAGUGCCUUUAUCAUUUUGACAUAUCAAAUCAAAUGGUGUGGUCUUGACAUGCAUAGUCAAGCAAGUUCUAGAAGAACAAUUCAAUACUGACGCACUCAAUGCAACAAUAAAAGUGAGCAUGAAAGAAAUUAUAAAUGCUCUAAAGGCUCAAAAUCUCACAAAAAAUAUGGCUUUUUGAUGUUUAAACCUGUGAAUUUCAACUCAAGAUAAUACCUAAACUUGGGAGAAACAACCUAUAAAAUUUUAAGUUCAAAAGUCAACUUAUCAUGCUUGAUUCUUUAAUAUCUUAAAGUUUAAACAAUCAAUGCAUGUAUGCCUAAGUUUUAAUUCAAGACAUAUCAAUAAAGAUCAUAAAUUAAUCAAAAUUUAUUCUAAUCAUGGCAUGAGAAGAUCACAUGAGAAUAAGACAAAAUUCAGGGAUUUCUAAUGACGAUAUGAAUAACCCCCCCACACUUAAGAUGUACAUUGCCCUCAAUGUACAAAGAUAGAUUUAUUGAAAAAGAUAGAUUGAUACUUAUGAGAUAGGGAGAGAAGUGAAACUUCUUGAAUGAUGAAUGAACUUCUUGAACUGGAGUUUUGGUGAAUAAUCGGCGUGAGAGUGGAGAAGGAUACUCCAGUGGUGGUAGAGGUUCAUUAGUCCAUAAGUCCUGCGCCAAAAGAAUAUUAUAUCUGGUGGUAGCUAUGGUCAUGGUCGAACAGGACAUGGCAGUCGUGGAGAACCUUUCCCGGUAGAGUUUUUAGUUCCUAUGCGAAGAUGAGCUUUGGAACUCUUUAUAACUGCGACAGAAUCAUGAACUAUAAGGAAGCAUAAUUACUCAUAAUGAAAUAGCUGAAAUUGGAAAUUGUAAAAAAUCAAAAUAAAAUAGUAUAAACAGGAAAUAAAAAGUAAUUUCAAAAUAUAAAGAUAAAGCUAAGAUAGAUAAAGGUGUUUAUAGGGAAAUUGGGGCACACGGCCGUGGGCCUGCCCGUUUGCCUUUGUUUCAGCCCGUGCAUUUCGUGGUUUUCAAAAUUGGGUACAUCGGUGUACUCGGCCAUGUUGCACGACUGUGUCAAUCUUCGUUCGCUCCUCCUACGCUUGUGUAUGACAGCACACGCCUAUGUUCUUUUGGCAGUUUCGCCCAUGACCAUGUCGUACGGCCGUGGCAACUUAACGCAUCCCGUGUUGGGUAAGAAAUUUUACCCUGUUUUCACACGACCGUAUCGCACGGCCAUGUUUCAUCCCGUGGUAUGUGCACGGCCUACGACACACCCGUGUGCAUAGCCGUGUGGUUAUGAAAAUCCUGUGUUCAGUGACUCAGUUAGUUAAUUAAAUGUUAAAGACUAAAAUUUAAAGAAAUUAGCACCGUUAGUGCUCGGGGUGCCUCCCGAGAAGCGCUUGUUUAUAGUCUAAGCUCGACUCUAUGUUGUGGGUGUAUUUAGGUAACUUCAUGGAGCUGUAGCUCCUCUUUAUCGUCUUUGAAAUUCUCACCAUUAUGCAUUUUGAGACAAUGUCCAUUUACCUUAAAAGUGCCUUGUGAUGGAUGACUUACCUCUACUGUACCAUAUGGAAACAUAGUUUGAACUAAAAAAAGACCUGACCAUCGUGAUUUGAGCUUUCCAGGAAACAAUUUAAGCCUCGAGUUAUAUAACAGGACAAGAUCUCCAACUUCAACUUGCCUUCGUUGCUUCAAAUGAGCGUCGUGGCGGCGCUUCGUCGCUUCCUUAUAUAAGCGCGAAUUUUCAUAUGCAUUGGCUCACCACUCAUCUAAUUCAUUCAACUACAUCAACCUAUUUUCACCUGCAAGUUUGGGAUGAAGGUUUAGAAAUUUUAUAGCCCAGAAUACUUUGUGUUCCAACUUAAACGGUAGGUGACAACUUUUCCCAUAAACAAGUCUGUAAAGUGAUGUUCUUAUAAGAGUCUUAAAAGCAGUUCUAUAAGCCCAUAAAGCAUCAUCUACUUUCAUCACCCAAUCCUUCCUGUUUAAUUCUACUGUCUUUUCUAGGAUCCAUUUAAGCUCUUGGUUUGCUACUUCGACUUGGCCACUAGUUUGAAGGUGAUAAGGGGUAGCUGUUCUGUGAUGAACUCCCUAUUUCCUGAGGGUUUUUUCAAAUUGGGAGUUACAAAAAUGAGUACCCCUAUCAGUGAUAAUUACACUAGGUGUACCAAAUUGAGAAAAAAGUUUCUUAAGGAAUCAUACUACUACUCUAGCAUUAUUAGUAGGUAAAGCUUGGGCUUUAACCCAUUUGGACAUAUAAUCAACAACUACUACGAUGUAUUUAUUCCCGAAUGAACUAGGGAAUGGACCCAUGAAGUUGAUACCCCAAACGUCAAAUAUUUCACAUGAGAGCAUAUAUGUUUGAGGCAUUUCAUCACAUUCGGAUAUAUUACAUGUCCUUUGACAUUUGUCACAAGAAGUAACAUACCUGUUGGCGUCUUUGAAUAGAGUGGGCCAAUAAAAACCUGAUUUGAGGACUUUAUGUGUGGUUUUAUUUCCACCGUAAAGUCGUCCAGCCGGUCCUGAGUGGUAAUGUUUCAAGAUUUUCCAUGCUUCUGUCAUUGUAACACAUCUCCUAAUGAUUUGAUCUGCACAUUUACAGAAAAGAAAAGGGUCUUCCCAGAAGUAGUUUUUCACAUCAGUGAAGAAUCGCUUCUUUUGUUGAUGUGUCAACCCUUUUGGGAUAAUGUUAGCGGCUAAAAAAUUUGCAAUAUCUGCAAACCAAGGUACCUCAGAAUCAGAGAUAACAAAAAAUUGUUUUUCAGGGAAUGGAACAUUUAUUUCAAUGUCAUCUGGUUCUUUGGUACUUGAGUUUUCAAGCCUGGAGAGAUGGUCAGCCGCAAGAUUUUCAGCUCCUUUCUUAUCCUUAAUCUCUAAGACAAAUUCCUGCAAUAAGAAGAUCCAUCGAAUUAGUCGAGGUUUUCCAUCAGUUUUAGUCAAAAGGUGGCGAAGAGCGGAAUGGUCAGUAUAAACGACAACUUUAGACAAUAUUAAAUAUGGCCUAAAUUUAUCGAAUACAAAAACCACAGCUAGUAGCUCUUUCUUCGUGGUGGUGUAGUUUUCUUGUGCGGCUGUCAAAGUCCUGCUAGCAUAAUAGAUAGGUUGAAAAUGUUUAUCUCUUCACUUUCCCAAAACUGCACCUACUGCAAAAUCACUCGCAUCGUGAUCGCGUGGUUUUGUGAUAGGUUUUAAAUGUUUAUAAUUAAUCGUUCUUGAAACUAACUAUUAUCACGAUGUUGGCAAGUGUACCUAUUGAACAGUAGUAUAGUUUUAGCAAGAUCGGAUUGUCGAACCCAAGGGAACUAAAAGUACUAGUAAUGACUGUCUUUUUAUUAUCUAGCCUAAGAAUCAAGAGGUUUUUGUUUUAACUAAGUAAUUAUCUAAACUAAGAAUUCACAGAGAAUGGAAUUCGGGAAUUGCUUUUGGGAAAAUCGAUUGAAUUAAGACAAUACCUAAGGACAAAUCCACCUAGACUUUACUUGUUAUUCUGGCUCCGAAUCGGACGAUUUAUUCAUUCAACUUGUUCCGUAGAGAUCCCUGAGUUAUGUUAUUAUCCCUAUUCAAGACUAAUAACGUCUAAUCCCUAGAUUGAAUAACUGAGACUUUUCUCUAAUUUACACUCUAGGGUUGCAUUAACUCGAUCUAUAGAUCCCCUUAUUAGGUUUCACCCUAAUCUGGCAAAAUCUUGUCACCCUAUGUCUAGGCGCGCAAUCAACUCCACUUAAUUAUGAUAAAUGUACUCUUAGCCAGGGUCUAUUCCUCCUCGGAAUAAGAGCUUAUCUUGAAUCAGUAUCCUGGGAUAUCAAAACAAGAAUUAAGAACACAUAAUUAAGAACAAGUUAAAUAUUUAUCAUACAAUUCAGAAAAUAAUAACAAGAUUCGUCUUAGGUUUCAUUCCCCUUAGGUAUUUAGGGGAUUUAGUUCAUAACUGAAAAGGAAAACAUCUCAGGCCGUGUGGCACACGCUUGUGGUUUGGUAGCGACACGCCUGUGGCACACGCUCGUGUUCGAUUACUUCAGGCCGUGUUCGAGCCUGUCAAAUUGAUACAUUGACACGACCGUGUAGUCUGCCCGUGUGAGGAGGUCCAGGUCAUGUUGAUUUCGUACUUUGGCCCAUUUUUUCCUUUUUUGGCCCGUUUAUCGUUCCUUUCGCUCUCCUAUGCUCUCCUAAGUAUAAAACAUGAAAUCAAAGCAUUAAAAGCAUCGAAUUCACCAAUUCUAAUGAGAAAUCAUCCAUAAAAUGCAUUAAACAUGGGGUAAAAAUAUGUAUAAUUUACGGUUAUCACAUUGCACAUUAUAAUUGGAGCUUUAGUCAGUUUAUCCUUUAAAGUGUUAAAUCCUUCUAAACAAUCUGAUCGAAAUUAAAAGGCACAUCUUUUUCUAAUAAUUUAGUCAAAGGCUUAGCUAUUUUAGAAAUUUUUUUAAUAAAUCAUCUAUUAAACCCAGCAUGUCCUAAGAAACUUCUAAUAGCCUUAACCGAAUUAAGGGGAGGUAGUUUUGCAAUGGUUUCACUAUUUGAUUUAUCAACCUCAAUCCCUCUACUAGAAAUUUUAUGUCCUAACACAAUACCUUCUUGAACCAUAAAGUGACAUUUUUCCCUGUUAAGCACAAGGUUUGUUUCCUCACAUCUUAUUAACACUCGUUUUAAAAUUUCUAGGCAAAGAUGGAAAGAGUUACCGAAAAUUGAAAAAUCAUCCAUAAAUAACUCCAUGAUGUCUUAUACGAGUUCGUAAAAAAUGGCCAUCAUGCAGCGUUGAAAAGUAGCAGGAGUAUUACAUAAUCCAAAAGGUAUUCUACGAUAAGCAAACGUACCGUAUGGACAUGUAAAUGUCAUUUGUUUUUAUCUUCAAGAGCUAUUGGGAUUUGUAAAUAGCCAGAGAGUCCAUCUAAAAAGUAGUAGUACAUGUGUCCUGACAAUCUUUCCAACAUUUGGUCAAUGAACAGAAAGGGAAAGUGGUCUUUACUCGUGGCAUCAUUUAGCUUCCUAUAAUCAAGGCACACUCUCCAACCUGUGACUAUUUUUGUUGGGAUUAAUUCAUUCUUCUCAUUGGCUACAACAUUCAUGCCUCAUUUUGUAGGAACAAUCUGGACAGGACUCACCCAAGAACUGUCAGAAAUAGGAUAAAUAAUUCCAGCAUCUAGGAGUUUAAUUACCUCAGCUUUAAGAACUUCCUUCAUAUUGGGGUCAGUCGUUUUUGGGCUUGCAUGCACGGUUUAUAUUCAUCUUCCAUUAAAAUUUUGUGGGUAAAAAAAGAAGGGCUGAUCCCUUUAAUAUCAGAAAUUUUCCAAGCUAUGGCCCUUUUAUGCUCUCUUAAUACUUGGAGUAAUUCCUCUUUCUCCUUGGGUUGCAUGUUGGUUGCAAUAAUUACCGGUAAUAUGGAAUUAUUUCCAAAGAAUAUGAUCGCUUGAUUUCAUGAUAGGUGUUAAAUAGUUAUAAUUAAUCGUUCUUGAAACUAACUAUUAUCGCGAUGUAGGCAAGUGUACCUAUCGAACAGUAGUAUAGUUUUAGCAAGACCGGAUUGUCGUAUCCAAAUGAACUAAAAGUACUAGUAAUGACUGUCUUUUUAUUAUCUAGCCUAAAAAUAAAGAGGUUUUUGUUUUAACUAACUAAUUAUCUAAACUAAGAAUUCACAGAGAAUGGAAUUGGGGUAUUGCUUUUGGGAAAAUCAAUUGAAUUAAGACAAUACCUAAGGAAAAAUCCACCUAGAGUGUACUUGUUAUUCUGGCUCCGAAUCGGACAAUUUAUUCAUUUAACUUGUUCCUUAGAGAUCCCUAAGUUAUGUUAUUAUCCCUAUUCAAGACUAAUAAUGUCUAAUCCCUAGAUUGAAUAAUUGAGACUUUUCUCUAAUUAUCACCCUAGGGUUGCAUUAAAUCGAUCUAUGGAUCCCCUUAUUAGGUUUCACCCUAAUCCGGCAAAAUCUUGUCACCCUAUGUCUAGGCGCGCAAUCAACUCCGCUUAAUUAUGACAAAUGAACUCUUAGACAGGGUCUAUUCCUCCUCUGAAUAAGAGAUUAUCUUGAAUCAGUAUCCUGGGAUAUCAAAACAAGAAUUAAGAACACAUAAUUAAGAACAAGUUAAAUAUUUAUCAUAUAAUUCAGAAAAUAAUAACAAGAUUCGUCUUAGGUUUCAUUCCCCUUAGGUAUUUAGGGGAUUUAGUUCAUAACUAAAAAGGAAAACAUCUCAGAAGAAUAACGAAUACAAAACAUAAAUAAAUCCCAAAACUCCUAAAGGGAAAUUGAGGAGAGAUCUUAAGUCUUAAUGGUGAAUCCGGCUUCUAAGAUGGAUAAAUCGGCUUCCUUAGAGUAAUUCCUUACUCCCUAUUCUGUGCCCCCCUUUUCUUCCUCCUAUAGGGUGUAUUUAUAGGCUUUGGAAUGCCUAAGAGCCCUCAAAAUUAGCCUUUUUAGAAUUGGACUCAACUUGGGCUCGGCAGGGACAUGCCCGUGUAAUACGCCUUUGUGUGAUUACUUCAGGCCGUGCUCGAGCUUACGAAAUUGAUACGGUCGUGUGGUCUGUCCGUGUGAGAAGGUCUAGGCCGUGUUGAUUUCGUACUUUGGCCCAUUUUCUCCGGUUUUGGCCUGUUUCUUGUUCUUUUCGCUCUCCUAUGCUCUCCUAAGUAUAAAACAUGAAAUUAAAGCAUUAGGAGCAUCGAAUUCACCAAUUCUAAUAGGAAAUCAUCCAUAAAAUGUGUUAAAUAUGGGGUAAAAAUAUGUAUAAAUUACGGUUUAUCAAAUACACCGCACUUAAGCAUUUGCUUGUCCUCAAGAAAAAUUCUCAACUCAUAAUCAAAAUAAAUUCUUCUCAACUUAUAAUUUCUAUCGAUAAUAUCUCAAAAUAAUCCAUAGGUAAUCAUACAUUGGGAAUUCAAAUAAAAGAACAUAAAAGUUUCAAACAUUCCAAUUUGAGUAUUUAAUCAUGCAAACAUAGGUUUCUCACCUCAUCCAAGUAAUUACCUUUGAUUCAGAAUAUCACAGAGUUUCACAUCCUCACUAAAGAUUCACUCAAAUCACCCGAGGUGUUUAAGGACAAUAAAUGAAGCACUCAAUAGUCAAUAAUAAAAAGUCAUUACCAUAGGCUUGCAUGAAAAUCAAAUCUCCAGCACUAUAAUUUAAGAUGAUACAUCAAUCAAAAGGUCUUUGAGGGUUAUAAUGAGGUUUGGUUAGGGGGUGUGGUCACAAGCUGAAAGAAAGGUUUAGAAUCGAGAUUGAGUUGAAAAAUUACUUAACUAGAAAAAUAGCUAGUCAUUAAUUGUGUACAACAAAGCUUUUCUCAAAAUAUGAAAUUUUACUUCUUUAGCUCAGAAGAUUACUACUAUUAAGAUGUAUACAUUUUCUUUAAGAACAAGUCAAAUAUAAAGUAGAAUAAAACUUAGCUAAGCAACUAUUUCAAUUCCAAUAUCGACAAAAAAUGGGGAUCAAAUUAAUUUAGGGGAUUUCAACAAUAAUGGGUUAAGGGUUAAUAUUAAGGGUAAUAUAAGAAAUAGGUUGUUAGGCUCAAGGGGGUUUACUAGGGGUUAAUCGUGGAGGUAGGCUUUUCAUGGCAUGAGUGGGUUAAUCCUAAGUGCCUUAAUCAUUUUGACAUAUCAAAUCAAAUGGUGUGGUCUCGACAUGCAUAAUCAAGCAAGUUCUAGAAUAACAGUUCAAUACUAACACACUCAAAGCAAUAAUAAAAGUGAGCAUGAAAGAAUUAAUAGAUGCUCAAAAGGCUCAAAAUCUCACAAAAAAUAUGGCUUUUUGAUGUUUAAACCUGUGAAUUUCAACUCAAGAUAAUACCUAAACUUGGGAGAAACAACCUAUAAAAUUUUAAGUUCAAAAGUUAACUUAUCAUGCUUGAUUCUUUAAUAUCUUAAAGUUUAAACAAUCAAUGCAUAAAUGCCUAUGUUUUAAUUCAAGAUAUAUCAACAAAAAUCAUAAAUCAAUCAAAAUUUAUUCUAAAUAUGAUAUGAGAGCUUUUCAAGAAACAAGGUAGUCAUUCAGGGAUUUUUCUGAUAAUGAAAUAAAUAUCCCCCCAUACUUAAGAUGUACGUUGCCCUCAAUGUAAAAAGAUAGAUAUUAGAGUAUAAAAAUAAAAUGGGGAUAGAAGUGAAACUUCCUGUAUGAUAAAUUCCUCGAACUGGAGUUUUUGAAGAGUAAUUGAUUUGAAAGUGGAGGAGGAUACUCCGGCGGUCGUAGAGGUUCAUUAGUCCAUAAGUCCUGUGCCAAAAGAAUAUUAUAUCUAGUAGUAGCUAUGGUCAUGGUCGAUCAGGACAUGGCAGUCGUGAAGAACCUUUCCCGGUGGAGUUGUUAGUUCCUAUGCGAUGAUGAGCUUAAGAGCUCUAUAUAACUGUGAUAAAAUCAAGAACUUUUUAAGGGAUAUUAGGAAGAAUAAUUACUCAGAAAGAAAUAACCGAAAUUGAUAAUUAAAAAUAAAAUUCUAAAAUCUAAUAAAAAUUAAAAAGUAGUUUUAAUAAAAAUUAAAAUAUAAAAUAAUAAAUAAAUGUUUUUAAACAUCUUCAUUGCUGGAUGGUUCGCGAGGUGGGUCUGGCGAUGAGAUGUGGAGGUGCUGACAAAUAUGCUGUAGAGUAGAAUCAAUGUUGUCAAAUCGUUGAAAACACUACUGCUCGAAUCUAGUGAGGCGCUCAGAGAUGUCAGCAUAUGAAGCUGCAGCAUGAACUGGACGAGAGGGUGGUGGUGGCUCAGUCGGUGGGUCCUCAUGCUGUGGAGGGACAUCAUCAGAAAUGUCCUCGUAGGCCUCCUACUCGGUAGAUUGGGUGAGACGAUAUUAUGGAGGGUAGGUUCCUCGGCGCCUCUUAAUCAUCGUCAUGCUAAGCAUGCUCGAGAUGCCUUGUGGAGACAUCUGGCCGAUGAGGGUAAGGGAUGAUUCUUUGGCCGCGCUGCUGAGGAGCUUGAAGUGUCGAGCCAACCGAGUAACAUAGGGGCCAAUGGAGAUGACCUCCUUCCUAUUCCGCUCCGUCUGGUACUGAAUCGCGAGGGCGAUGAAAUAGGCAAGGUCGAUGACAUACCCGUGCGACAUACACCAUAAGAAGUAGGCGUCGUGAGUGUUGACGACGCCAGUGCUCUCUCGCCUCCCUAUAAUCGUGUGAGCCAAAAUGGCGUGUAGGUACCUUAAGGAUGGUGGGAGAACUGAUGCCUUAGAGCGGCUAGGAUUGUAGGAGGCUGCGCCAGGGGCCAAAGUGUGCCAGCACUUCGAGGGAGAGAAAUGUAUGUGGCGAGUGAGAGCAUGUAGUUCAUUCUCCUCCUUGAACUCCUUCGUAUAUAUGUCCAGUGCAGCACCGAGCUCUGGGACGCUUAGCUGGUAGACUAACCCGCCUAGGCGAAACUGGACCGUGCCGGGAUCAUCGUAAUUCGUCAUUACAGUCUGAAGAUGGAACGUUGAGCAUAGUUCCAUCAUGAGCUCGAGGUAUGUUGGUUCGAUGAUCCCAAAGAACAGCUCCCAAGGGUCGGUGGUUAAGAGGGCCCGAAUUGCAUCAGACAACUAAACUUGUUCUACGGUAGCCCAGUCGAUACAGCGGCUCGCAAUUAAAGGUCGGGCCCGAACUAAACUUGUUCUUCUUGAAGCCCUCGGUGGAACUGUAGGAAAGAGUGACGAAUUUCUGUGGUUGGACCUGUAGAAGAUGACGCUCCCUUCCUCUUUUUCGAAGCAGGUACAACGGUUUUCUUUCCUUGUGAAGACAACAUGGAACACUAGAAAGAGGAGAAUUGGUGUCAAAAAUGGAGUUGAAGGCUGCGCACAGGUGUGGUAAGGAGGCCGUGUAGAAUUGUAGCUGCUAGGGUUAGGGUUUUUGAGUGGGGAAGACAAUGAAUAGUGCCGGGUAUUUAUAGAUUUUAGGGCACACGGCCAGGUAACACGCCCGUGUUCCCUAAUUUCAGCCCGUGUGAUUCGCGAAUUUUGAAUUUGGGCUCGUCUGAUAUUUAGUACACGUCCGUGUUCCUUAGGCAUGUGGGUGCACACGGCUGUGUCGCACGACUGUGUCUGAUGUUGUUCGCUUCUCCCACGCCCGUGUAUUCAGACCCAUGCCCGUGUCAAUCUAACAGGUUCGACUACGGGUGCUAGACAUGGGCGUGUCGAACGCCCGUGCUAUUUUAACGGGUUCACCCACAGUUCUUCCACACGGGCGUGUCUCACCCCCGUGUUGUUUUGGCAGGUUCGAACACGGCCAUGUCGUAUAGCCGUGGCGUUUUAUCGUAGCCCGUGUUUGGGAAAAAUUAUUAUCAUGUUUUCACAUGGCCCUAAGCACGCCCGUGCUCUGGGCCGUGUCCCUGUGGAAAACCUGUAUUCAAGCGCUCCAUUAGUAAGUUAGAUGUUGAAGACUAAACUUUAAAGAAGUUAAUACAGUUAGUGCUCGGGUUGUCUCUCGAGAAGUGCUUAUUUAUAGUCUAAGCUUGACUUACCUCUCUGUUGAAUGAUCAUAGUGGUUUGAGGAGUUUAUACUCCUCAUUCCUACUAUCAAUCUCAUCAAAAUAAGGUUUUAAAUGGGUGUUGUUUACCUUAAAAGUGCCGAACUUGGGAUGACUCACCUCGACUGUACCGAAUGGGAAAAUGCUGAGUACCGUAAGAGGGAUUUCUUCAUUCGAUGUGGUAGCGAAAAUGUGGGGAUCUAUGGCAUCUAAUAAGACUCUAUCUCCAACCUUAAGUUGAUUUGGAAAGGGAUUGAGCUUGUUCUGUUGUAGAUUCGAUUUGUCAAGUGUUCUCAGUUUAUGCGUCCGGCAUUCAUCUAGGUCUUCGAUUUUUAGCAUUCGAUCCUCAUGAAUGGGUCCUCUGCUAUUACUUGAGAAUGACUCAUGUGCUUCCUUUAGACUCAUUUCCUGCAAAGUAGGUUGUACCAUAUUGUCAGUUUUAGUAGAAUGGGUUAAACGAUCACCUUCAAUUUCUAAUGUGUUGCCAAAAUUGCGAGCUUGAAGAGUGAUUGUUUCGUCUCCCACACGGAGUGUGAGUUCACUUGUACCAACAUCAAUAAUCAUUUUAGCAGUUGCUAAAAAGGGCCUUCCUAGAAUUAAAAGAGUGUUGCUAUCCUCCUCUAUGUCUAGAACAAUAAAGUCAACGGGAAAUAUAAAUAUAUCAUUUUUAACUAGCACAUCUUCAAUAAUACCCCUAGGAAAUCUUAUAGUUUUAUCUGCUAAUUGAAGGCUCAUCCUAGUCUGUUUGGGUUUUCCAAGACCUAAUUGUUUGAACAUUUUGUAAGGCAUGACGUUAAUCCUAGCCCCCAAAUCAGCUAAUGCAUUAUUAACAUUUAAACUACCAAUUAAGUAAGUAAUUGUAAAACUCCUUGGAUCUUUAAGUUUGUUGGGUAGUUUAUUCUGGAGAAUAGCUAAGCAAACUGCAUUUAGCUCCACAUGCGAUGCCUCGUCCAUCUUAUUUUUUAAAAGCUCCUUUAAAAAUUUCAUUGCGUUGGGCAUCUGUGAUAGAGCUUCAAUAAACGGUAAGUUACUAUGUAAUUUUUUUAAGAGUCUAAGGAAUUUACCAAAUUGUUCAUCUGAGCGGUCUUUCCUUGUCACGUUGGGGUAUGGCACACGAGGUUUAUAUUCGACAUUUAUCGAUUUGUUUUUAUUGUGAUCUACCUCACCUUGACCUUUUCUUUCUACAGUUUCUUGCCUCGAUUCUGGCUCAGGCUCAACAAAUCCUUCUUCAUCUUGAACAUUAAUCGGGUUGAGCUGUUCCAUUGGGUUAUGUUUUGUAUUACUUGGCAAGGUCCCUUGUGGUCGUUCAGAGAUUAGUUUGGAAAGCUGGCCUAUUUGAGUUUCGAGCCCUUGGAUCGAUGCUUGUUGAUUUUUAAGUGCUGUCUCGGUGUUCUGAAAAUGAGUUUCUGAUGGUAGGGUGGUUGUUGGUAGCCUGAAGAUGGUUGUGGUCUUUGAUUUCCUUGACUGCCCCACUAGAAAUUGCAGUGGUUCCUCUAACCUUCAUUGUAAGUGUUACUAUAUGGAUUGUUUUGAGGUCAAAGAUUAUUACCCAUGUAAUUUAAUUACUCGUUCUCGAUGUUGUGGCCAUAAGGUUGGUAUUCUGAAUGGCUUGUUCCACCUCCACUUGCUUUGCACUGCAUUACUGGGUGAACCUAUGAAGAACUAAGAAAACCAUCAUUUUUUUUAUUUAGAAGUUCUACCUGGUUUGAUAGCAUAGUAAUCAAAUCGACAUUAUAAACGCCUGCUGUUUUAGUUGGUUUUGUCCUCGUGACUUGCCACUGAUAGUUAUUCAGUGACAUCUCUUCUAUAAACUCAUAAGCAUCUUCAGGUGUUUUAUUAUUGAUGGUUCCGCCAGCAGCUGCGUCAACCAUUUUUCGAAUCGAAGGAUUCAAGCCAUUACGGAACGUUUGAACCUGAAGCCAAAGCGGUAACCCAUGGUGAGGGCACCUUCUCAGUAAGUCAUUGUAUCUCUCCCAUGCAUCGUAAAGAGUUUCUAAGUCCAUCUGCACAAACGAAGAGAUAUCAUUACGUAAUUUGGCCGUUUUAGCCGGCGGGAAAUAUUUUAAUAGAAAUUUUUCGGUCAUUUGUUCCCAAGUAGUGAUUGACCCUCAUGGUAAUGAGUUCAACCACUGUUUAGCUUUGUUCCUCAAUGAAAAAAGGAAUAACCGAAUAUGAAUAGCAUCAUCAGAAACACCAUUAAUUUUAAAUGUAUCGCAUAGUUCUAAGAAGUUGGCUAAAUAAGCGUUGGGAUCCUCAUCCUGUAAACCAUCAAACUGAACAUAUUACUGUAUCAUUUGAAUAGUGUUAGGUUUUAGUUCAAAAGUAUUUACAGCUACAACAGGUCUAACUAUGCUCGAUUCAGUUCCUGUUAAAGAAGGUUUAGCGUAAUCAUACAUAGUGCUUAGAGCAGGAUUUUGAUCAACUGCAAUUGCAGGAGGUAGCUGAUUGUCUUGGUUUUCAGCCAUCUCUGCAGUUGGGGUUUGAGUAUCGUUCUCUUGCUCGUUCUCUGUGUAUCUUAAGCUUCGCAUUAUUUCUCUUUGGUUUCUGCGAACUGUGCGAUCGAUUUCUUCGUCAAAAAGUAGUGGUCCUAACGGGUUUCUUCUAGUCAUAAACUGUAAAAACUUGCCAAGAGAAGGACAAAAUAAGUAAUAAAAUUAAAUUAAAUUGCAAGAAAAAUAAAUGGCUAAAGUAAUAAAAAUUGAGUGUUCCUAAUAUCUUAGUUCCCCGGCAACGGCGCCAAAAACUUGAUCGCGUGAUUUCGUGAUAGGUUUUAAAUAUUUAUAAUUAAUCGCUCUUAAAACUAACUAUUAUCGCAAUCUAGGUAAGUGUACCUAUCAAACAGUAGUAUAGUUUUAGCAAGACCGGAUUGUCGAACCCAAGGGAACUAAAAGUACUAGUAAUGACUCUCUUUUUAUUAUCUAGCCUAAGAAUCAAGAGGUUUUUGUUUUAACUAACUAAUUAUCUAAACUAAGAAUUCACAGAGAAUGGAAUUCGAGAAUUGCUUUUGGGAAAAUGAAUUAAGACAAUACCUAAGGAAAAAUCCACCUAGACUGUACUUGUAUUCUAGCUCCGAAUCGGACGAUUUAUUCAUUUAACUUGUUCCGUAGAGAUCCCUAAGUUAUGUUAUUAUCCCUAUUCAAGACUAAUAACGUCUAAUCCCUAAAUUUAAUAAUUGAGACUUUCUCUAAUUAACACCCUAGGGCUUCAUUAACUCGACCUAUGGAUCCCCUUAUUAGGUUUCACCCUAAUCUGGCAAAAUCUUGUCACCCUAUGUCUAGGUGCGCAAACAACUCCGUACUUUGGCCCGUGUGAGGAGGUCCAGGCCAUGUUGAUUUCGUACUUUGACCCAUUUUCUCUGUUUUUAGCCCGUUUCUCAUUCCUUUCUCUCUCCUAUGCUCUCCUAAGUGUAAAACAUGAAGUUAAAGCAUUAGGAGCAUCGAAUUCACCAAUUCUAAUAAGAAAUCAUCCAUAAAAUGCAUUAAACAUGGGGUAAAAAUAUGUAUAAUUUACGGUUUAUCACAUCACACAUUAUAAUUGGAGCUUUAGUCUGUUUAUCCUUUAAAGUGUUAAAUGCUUCUAAACACUCCUGAUCGAAAUUAAAAGGAACAUCUUUUUCUAAUAAUUUAGUCAAAGGCUUAGCUAUUUUAGAAAAGUCUUUAAUAAAUCUUCUAUAAAACCUAGCAUAUCCUAAGAAACUUCUAAUAGCCUUAACCGAAUUAGGGGGAGGUAGUUUUACAAUGGUUUCAAUUUUUGAUUUAUCAACCUCAAUCCCUCUACUAGAAAUUUUAUGUCCUAACACAAUACCUUAUUGAACCAUAAAGUGACAUUUUUCCCUGUUAAGUACAAGGUUUGUUUCCUCACAUCUUAUUAACACUUGUUUUAAAAUUUCUAGGCAAAGAUGGAAAGAGUUACCGAAAAUUGAAAAAUCAUCCAUAAAUACCUCCAUGAUGUCUUAUAUGAGUUCGUCAAAAAUGGCCAUCAUGCAGCGCUGAAAAGUAGCAGGAGCAUUACAUAAUCCAAAAGGUAUUUUACGAUAAGCAAACAUACUGUAUGGACAUGGAAAUGUCAUUUUUUCUUGAUCUUCAAGAGCUAUUGAGAUUUGGAAAUAGCCAGAGAGUCCAUCUAAAAAGCAGUAGUACAUGUGUCCUGACAAUCUUUCCAACAUUUGGUCAAUGAACGGAAAGGGAAAGUGGUCUUUUCUCGUAAUAUCAUUUAGCUUCCUAUAAUCAAGGCAUACUCUCUAACCUGUGACUGUUCUUGUUGGGAUUAAUUCAUUCUUCUCAUUGGCUACAACAAUCAUGUCUCCUUUCGUAGGAACAAUCUGCACAGGACUCACCAAAGAACUGUCAGAAAUAGGAUAAAUAAUUCCAACAUCUAGGAGUUUAAUUACCUCAGCUUUAACAACUUCCUUCAUGUUGGGGCCAGUCGUCUUUGGGCUUGCACGCACGGUUUAUAUUCAUCUUCCAUUAAAAUUUUGUGGGUGCAAAAAAAAGGGCUGAUCCUUUUAAUGUCAGAAAUUUUCCAAGCUAUGGCCCUUUUUUGCUUUCUUAAUACUUGGAGAAAUUCCUCUUUCUCCUUGGGUUGCAAAUUUGAUGCAAUAAUUACCAGUAAUGUGGAAUUAUUUCCACGGAAUGUGAUCGUGUGAUUUCAUGAUAGGUUUUAAAUAUUUAUAAUUAAUCGUUCUUGAAACUAACUAUUAUCGCGAUGUAGGCAAGUGGACCUAUCGAACAGUAGUAUAGUUUUAGCAAGACCAGAUUGUCGAACCCAAGGAAAUUAAAAGUACUAGUAAUGACUGUCUUUUUAUUAUCUAGCCUAAGAAGAAAGAGGUUUUUGUUUUAACUAACUAAUUAUCUAAACUAAGAAUUCACAGAGAAUGGAAUUGGGGAAUUGCUUUUGGAAAAAUCGAUUGAAUUAAGACAAUACCUAAGGAAAAAUCCACUUUGACUGUACUUGUUACUCUGGCUCUGAAUCGGAUAAUUUAUUCAUUUAACUUGUUCCGUAGAGAUCCCUAGUUAUGUUAUUAUCCCUAUUCAAGACUAAUAACGUCUAAUCCCUAAAUUGAAUAAUUGAGACUUUUCUCUAAUUAACACCCUAGGGUUGCAUUAACUCGAUCUAUGGAUCCCCUUAUUAGGUUUCACCAUAAUCUGGAAAAAUCUUGUUACCCUAUGUCUAGGCGCGCAAACAACUUCGCUUAAUUAUAACAAAUGUACUCUUAGAUAGGGUCUAUUCCUCUUCUGAAUAAGAGCUUAUCUUGAAUCAGUAUCCUGGUAUAUCAAAACAAGAAUUAAGAACACAUAAUUAAGAACAAGUUAAAUAUUUAUCAUACAAUUCAGAAAAUAAUAACAAGAUUCGUCUUAGGUUUCAUUCCCCUUAGGUAUUUAGGGGAUUUAGUUCAUAACUGAAAAGGAAAACAUCUCAGAAGAAUAACGAAUACAAAACAUAAAGAAAUCUCAAAACUCCUGAAGGGAAAUUGAGGAGAGAUCUUCAAUCUUGGUGGUGAAUCCGGCUUCUGAGAUGGAUCAAUCGGCUUCCUUGGAGUAAUUCCUUACUCCCUAUUCUGUGCCCCCUUUUCUUCCUCCUCUAGGGUGUAUUUUUAGGCUUUGGAAUGCCUAAGAGCCCUCAAAACUAGCCUUUUCUGAAUGGGAAUUAACUUGGGCUCGGUACGGACACGCCCGUAUAACACGCCUGUGUGUGAUUACUUCAGGCCGUGCUCGAGCCUGCCAAAUUAACACGACCGUGUGGUCUGCCCGUGUGAGGAGGUCUAGGCCGUGUUGAUUUCGUACUUUGGCCAAUUUUCUUCUAUUUUUUGACCCGUUUCUUGUUCCUUUCGCUCUUCUAUUCUCUCUUAAGUAUAAAACAUGAAAUUAAAGCAUUAGGAGCAUCGAAUUCACCAAUUCUAAUAGGAAAUCAUCCAUAAAAUGCGUUAAACAUGGGGUAUAAGUAUGUAUAAAUUACGGUUUAUUAGAAUGCAUAUUCCAAGUGAUUCAGCAAUUGUUUAAGUUUCAGUUUGGAAGGUUCGUCAAUAGAGGGUUUUUGCUUAAGUUCAUAUUUUACCUUAAUUCCCUCAUAUUCUGCUAGUUUUGGAGAAGCUUCAUUGGAGUUUAGUUUAGUUCCUAUUUCAGAAUCAUCAUCCAUCCCCUCUCAUUGGGUGGGACACAGUUCCAUCGUGUCCUUGUGUACGAUUCCCUGAAAAGAAUCUUGAGUAGCAUGAUCAAUAGAGUCGAUAAAAUAACAUGAGUCAUCCUGUUCUCUAGAAAAUCUCAUGUCAUCAUAAAUUUUAAAGAUAAUCUCUUCGCCACCUACUCUAAGUACCAAUUUAGCAAGGCCUGUUGUAUGGCGGCAUAUGGGCGUGUGGUGGCGAGCACGGGGGUGUGAUGUGGAGAGGAAGCCGUGUGGUGGGAAAAAUGGAGGGUAUAAAGAGGGGAAAGUGGGGAUUAAUGCAAGGGGAAUAGAUUUUAGGGUGGUUUGAGGGUUGGGGAAGUGAGAAUCUUGGAAAUGGUGGCUAGAAUAAGGAUUAAGGAGUGGGGAGAAGGAGUUUUUGGCUAGGGUUUUGAAAGGGGGAAGAAGAUGAAGAGUGGUUUGUAUAUAUAGGGGAGGGUCACACGGCCUAGGGCCACGCCCGUGUACUUUGAGUGUGAGCCCGUGUUUUUCAAAUUUUUCAAUUUAGGUCAUGCCCCGCUACUGUCCCACGCCUGUGUGUCUUGGGCGUGUGUGGCACACGGCCAUGUCGCACGGUCGUGCCUAGCUUUGUUUGCUUUUCCUAUGCCUGUGUGUUAUGGUAGCACGCCCGUGUAUUGUUGUACAUGGCCGAAUGGCACGGGUAUGUCGUACACCUGUCUCAAAGAAACAGAAUCGAGCCUUGUCCCUGGCACGCCCGUGGGUUUUCAUUCCCACGCCCGUGUGUUCCUAUCAAGUUCACCCACGGCUAUGUCGAACGGACGUGGGGAUUUAUCGCACCCUGUGUUUUGGGGAAAUCAUGUCCUACUUCAACACGGCCGUAUCGCACGGCCGUGUCUCUUCCUCUGUUUGGCCACGGCUCUAGGCACGCCCGUGUGCCUGGCCGUGUGUGCUGAAAAAUUGUGCAAUUAAAAGAUUAAGUUAAUUGAUUCGAAGUGUGAGAAAAUAAAAAUAAAGAAAUAAAAAUAUGUUUGUGCUCGGGUUGCCUCCCGAAAAGCACUUAUUUAUAGUCUAACCUCGACUUACCUCUCCGUUAAAUGAUCAUGGUGGUUCGAGUAGUUCAUACUCUUCAUUCCUGUUGUCAAUUUUAAAAUAAGGUUUUAAACAGGUGUUGUUUACCUUAAAAGUGCCGAACUUAGGAUGACUCACCUCCACUGUACCGAAUGGAAAAAUACUAAGUACCGUAAGAGGGAUUUCCUCAUUUGGUGUGGCAGUGACAAUGUGAGGAUCAACGACAUCUAGUAAGACUGUAUCGCCGACCUGAAGUUGAUUAGGAGAGGUAUCGGGCUUGUGUUUGCGUAGUUUCAGUUUAUCAUGUGUUCCCAGUUUGUGUUCACGCCAUUCGUCUUGCUCCUCUAUCUGUAGUAUUCGUUCUUCAUGGACGUCUUUGUUCUCUUCAUGAUAGUAGCGGAUUGUCUCUGUUGUCUUUGUUCGAGGAAGUUCUUACAAGGACGAUUGAAUAUUAGUUUUAUCAUCGACAGUUUUUAUAGCAUUAUCUUGAGUCUUAGAGGUUUUGACUGAGUCGCAUGCUUGGAGUGUUACUGCGUCGUCACCUACACGAAGUGUUAGCUCUCCUGUGCCUACAUUAAUAAUGGUUUUGGCAGUUGCUAAAAAUGGUCGUCCUAAAAUUAGAGGUACCUCGGUAUCCUCAUCCAUAUCAAAGACAACGAAGUCUACUGGGUAAAUAAAUUUAUCAAUUUUAACAAGAAUGUCUUCAAUAAUACCCUUAGGAAAUCUAACUAUUUUUCAGCCAAUUGUAUGCUUAUCCUAGUCUGUUUGAGUUUACCGAGACCUAGUCGUUUAAACAUUUUAUAUGACAUAACAUUUAUACUUGCUCCUAGAUCAGCUAAAGCAUUAUUCACAGAUAGGCUUCCAAUUAAACAAGGAAUUGUAAAACUCCCUGAAUCUUUUAAUUUGUUAGGUAGCUCAUUCUUUAGAAUAGCUGAGCAGACUGCAUUGAGUUCCACAUGUGAUGUAGCGUCUAAUUUCCUUUUAUUGCUCAGAAGUUCCUUUAAAAAUUUUGCUGAGUUGGGCAUCUGCGAAAGAACUUCAAUAAAAGGUAAGUUAAUAUGUAAUUUCUUUAAGUGUUUGACAAACUUACCAAAUUGUUCUUCUGUUCUGUCUUUCGUCAUCGCUUUAGGAUAUGGCACACGAGGUUAAUGAUUCGUACUUACCUGUUUAGGCUCAUUAAUGUUUACCUCUUCUCGUCCUUUGUUCAUCGUGUUGUCUUGCUGUAAUUCUGGUUCAAGUGCAAUGAAUCCUUCCUUAUCUUGAGUGCUAAUUGCAUUGAGGUGUUCCCUCGGAUUAGGUUCAGUAUUACUUGGUAGGCUCCCUUGUGGUCGUUCGGAGAUUAGUUUAGAUAGCUGGCCUAUUUGAGUUUCAAGUCCUUGGAUCGAUGCUUGUUGAUUCUUAAGUGCUGUCUCGGUAUUUUAGAAACGGGUUUUCUGACACCGAGAUGAAUUUAGAAAGCAUCUCUUCAAGGUUUGGUUUUUCUUCUGUUGAUAAGGUGGCUAUUGAAAACCCUGAGAAUUUUGUGGCUUUGGAUUUCCUUGACCUCCCUAGGAAAAAUUUGGGUGGUUCCUCCAACCUACAUUAUAAGUAUUACUGUAUGGGUUAUUUUUAGAUCGAAAGUUAUUAUUACCCAUACAGUUGACUUGUUCCUCUUCGGUUGUGGGAUUGAAGGGUUGAUAUUCUGUAUGCACACCUCCUCCGCUUGAGUCACAUACCUGCGUAGAACCAAGAAAACUAUAAAUCUUUUUAUUGAGAAGUUCUACCUGAUUAGAGAGCAUGGUGACUAAAUCGAUGUUAUAGACGCCGGCUGUUUUCGUUGGCUUUGUCCUCAUAACUUGCCACUGAUAGUUAUUCAGUGACAUCUCUCUAUGAAUUCAUAGGCAUCUUCUGGUGUUUUAUUAUUGAUUGUUCCACCAGCAGCUACGUCAAUCAUUUGUCUUGUCGAGGGAUUCACACCAUUGUAGAACGUUUGAACUUGCAGCCAAAGCGGUAACCCAUGGUGAGGGCACCUUCUCAGUAAGUCAUUGUAUCUCUAAAACCCUUGAAGGAAUUCUGAGAAAGAUCUUCAGUCUUGGAGUAGCUCCGACUUUUGAGAUGGAUCGUCUAGCUUUCUUCAAGUAAUUCUUGGCGUGUGGUUCUGUAUUCCAGAAAAGUUCUGGAAAGAGUGGCCUCCUUCUAGGUCACACUUAGGGUGUUUAUAUAGGCUUUGAAUUGGCUUUCUUCCUCCCUAAGUCCCCUUUUCCGUGUAAAAUACAACUCUUUGAAAAAGGGACACGCCCGUGUUCCACGGCCGUGUGGGCUCAAUGGCCAGGUUGUGUGAAUCUUGAAAACCUUGUUCGAUACCUCCGAAGGCCACGAGUGUGUGAGAUGCCCGUGUGGCAAGGCUUAGGCCGUGUCAUCUUCUCGAUUUGAUCCAUUUUGUCCCUUUUUAGCUCAUUUUUGGCUCAUUUCGACUCUUGGUGCUCUCUUGAGUACAAAACAUGAAAUAACCGGAUUAAGAGCACCAAAAUCCACAAAUCUAGUAAUAAACAUCCAUAAAUAUGCUAAGUAUUUGGGGUAUAAACAUGUAUAAUUUGGCGUUUAUCACUCGUCCUACAAACCAUCAAACUGAACAAACUGUUCUAUCAUUUGAAUUGUGUUAGGUUUUAGUUCAAAAGUAUUUGAGGCUACAGCCAGUCUAAUUAUGCUCGAUUCAGUUCCUGUUAAAGAAGAUUUAGCAUAAUCAAACAUAAUGCGCAAAGCAGGAUUCUGAUUAACAGCAAUCGCAGGAGGUAGCAGAUUUUCUUGGUUUUCAGCCAUCUCCUCGGUUGUGGUUGAAGAAUCAUCCUCUUGCUCGUCCUCUACGUAUCUUAGGCUUCGCCUUAUUUCUCUCCAGUUUCUGCGAACUGUGCGGUCGAUCUCAUCGUCAAAAAGUAGUGGUCCUGACGGGUUUCUUCUAGUCAUAAACUAGAAAAGCCUGUCAGAAGGAAAUAAGAGAAAAAUUAGAAAAGAAAAUAAAAAUUUAAAUGGUAAUAAAAGUAAAGUGGCUAAAGUAAUAAAAAUCGAGUGUUCCUAAUAUCCUAGUUCCCCAGAAAUGGCACCAAAAACUUGAUGCGUGAUAUUCGUAACAGGUUUUAAAGAUUUAUAAAUGAAAUGUUCUUGAGACUAACUUGUUAUCACAAUUAAGGAAAGUGUACCUAUCGAACAGUAGUAUAGUUCAGCAAGACCGAAUUGUCGAACCCAAAGGAACUACGAGUACUAGUAUUUACUUCUUCCUUUUUAUUAUCUAGCCUAAAAUUUAAAAGGUUUGGUUGUCUAAACUAAUUACUAACUAAGAAUGCACAGAAAGAAAAAUUUGGGAAAAUUCUUUUGGGAAAAUUCGAUUGAUUGAGACAAUACCGAAGGAUAAAUCCACAUAGACUUCACUUGUUAUUUGACUCUGAAUCAGACGAUUUAUUAAUUUGACUUGAUCCGUAGAAAUGCCUAAGUUAAUUAUUAUCUCUUUCGAGACUAAUAACGUCUAGCCCUAGGUUGAAUAAUUGAAAUCUCUUUCUAAUUAACACCCUAGAAUUGCAUUAAGUCGAUCUAUGGAUUCCCUUAUUAGGUUUCACCCUAAUUCGGCAAAAUCUUGUCACCCUAUCUCUAGGCACGCAAUAAACUUCGCUUAAUUAUGACAAAGUUACUCUUAGACAGGGUCUAUUCCUCCUCUAAAUAAGAGCUUAACUUGAAUCAAUAUCCUGGAAUAUUAAAACAAGAAUUAAGUACACAUAAUUAAGAACAAGUCAAAUAUUUAUCAUACAAUUCAGAAAAUAAUAACAAGAUCUGUCUUAGGUUUCAUUCCCCUUAGGUAUUUAGGGGUUUAGUUCAUACUUAUGAAAGAAAACAUCUUAAAAGUAUAAAGAUAACAAAACAUAAGAAAACCUAAAACUCCUGAAGGAACUUGAAGGGAGAUCUCUAGUCUUGAUGAUGAAUCCGGCUCUUGAGAUGGAUCAAUCGGCUUUCCUUGAGUAAUUCCCUGCUUCCUUCUCUCCUCCCCUCCUAAGUGCCUCAUCAGGUGUUUAAAUAGGUUUUGGAAUGCUUAAGAGCCCUUAAAAUUGGCCUUUUCCAAAUUGGACUAAACUUGGGUUCGAUAGGGACACGCCCGUGUGCGAUUACUGAAGGCCGUGGUCAAGGCUGUUAAAUGGACGCUGGUGUGUGAUCCACCCGUGUAAGUUGUACUUUGAUCCUACCAAAUUGACACGGCAGUGUGACACGCCCGUGUGAGGAAGUCCAGGCCGUGUUGUUUUCCCAUAUGGGUCCAUUUUCUCCAUUUUCGGCCCAUUUCUCGCUCUUUUUACUCUCCUAUGCUCUCCUAAGUAUAAAAAUUGAAAUUAAAGGAUUAGAAGCAUCAAAUUCACCAAAUAUAAGGAGAAACCAUCCAUAAAUACGUUAGGCAUGGGGUAAAAAUAUGUAUAAAUUACGGUUUAUUAUUUACAUUUAAGGUAAGCAUACACAAUACAUCCAAAGCAAUUUAGCCAAUAGCAAAGCUUACACAAUACAUCCAAAGCAAUUUAGCCAAUAGCCUAAACACAUAUCCCCAUCAAACAAAUUAGUCAUGUAUUUCGUAUGAAUUUCAAGAAACAUGAAUGAGCUCAUCAAAUAUCAAAUUUCCAUGUUCUUAAAUUUCCCACAUCUUGUAUUCACAUAUAUCGAAUCUAUGUAUUUCAAGGUUAUAUGAGAAAUGAUUCAUUUAGAGCUCAUUUUUUUUUCUCAUGUCAGGAUUUUUGCUUGUUGAAUCAUUGAAAAUAUCGAUGGAUAUACAGGUAGUACAUACAAGGUGUACAAAACUAUAAUUCGUCAAUUCAUAUACAUGAAUGCUCAUGCAUACAUGUAAACGGGAAGCUUUUUCGAGCCAUAAAACGGGAAGGUCACGUGAGCCAUGUAACGGGAAGCUCAUUCGAGCUGUAUAAUGAGAAACUCAUAAGAGCCAUAAUCGAGAAGUUCAAGUGAGCCAAUAUCGGAAAGCUCCGGAGAGCCGUUAAUCGUGAAGCUCAUGAAUGUAACAUCCCGAAUUAGGGCCUAGUCAAAAUAGUGGUUUCAAGACCAUAAAUUCGAAUUAGAAAUGAUUAUUUUAUAAUUAUUAUAAGGUCUAUGAUAUGUUUAUAUGAUUGUGUAAAAUUUUCAUGAAGAAAUUAUAUGUGCGAAGUGUUUAAUUUGGCUUUAAGGACUAAAUCGCGUAAAGUGCCAAAGUUGCAUUCUAAUAGCUAAAGGUAUUAAAUAGCUAUAGAAUUUUUAGUGGAAGCCCUUAUGUGGAAAUUAACCCUUUAAUAAGUUAGUGGAAGAUAUUUGUUUGGUAUUAUUGAAAUUAGUUAGAAAUUAAAAGGGUAAAUUGAUAAUUAUGUUAAAAAGGUAUAAUAAGACAAAAAUACAAAAAAAUUAUCAUCUUUAUGUUUCUUUCUUCCACCGAAAUGAUGAAAAAUGGGCAGCCAUGGAUGAGCAUGAUAUUCGGACAAGCUUUUAUGGCUCAUCUAGGUACGGUUUUUGUCAUGUUUUUAAUUAUUUUUAUGUUUUCGGAGUCGUGGUAACUCAAUUUAGCUAUCCCGUACCUUCAUUUUCAAAACUGUUAAAGUAUUUGAAUUUUUUCAUUGUUGAUAAAAUUUGUAUUUUGAUAAUUGAUGAUAGAAAAUGCAUCCUUGUUGUUGAUAAACAACAUUUGUAAAGUGAUUUUUGAUAAAAAUGUCGAUUAAGGACUAAGUUGUGAAAUGUGUUAUAUUGUGUGAUAAAAGUUUGAAUAUGUGAAAUAUGUGGGCUUCUGUAAGUAAGAUAAAUAUUUGGCUAGGCUUGGUUUGGGAUAAAAUUGAAUGAAUUUUAUUUUUCGAGCCUAGGGACUAAUUUGUAAAUAAGUGAAAGUUUAGGGGCAAAAUUAUAAAUUUUCCAGAGUAUGAUUUUUGGGUCAAUUUGAGUAUUGUGAGUAAUAAAUAAGCUAUAUUUGAAAUUUUAGAUCCAAAAAAUCGAGAUUCAGACUUAAAUCGAGAGAGUACGUGGUUAAAGACAUAAAGGGAAUAAUUAGCCGUUUUUGCAUUCGAGGUAAGUUCGUGUGAUAAUAAUAAUGCAAUGUCUUAUUUGAAUUGAAAUGCUUAAUUAUUAUUAUAUAAUUUGUAUGAUACGUUAUGGAUAUACUCGACGAGGAAUCAAAAAACGAGUCGUAUGAUAAAAUUGGUAAGACGAUAAUGUUAUGGUGAUUUGUUAUUGAAAUCUGAAUUGAUAUGAUAAUUCGAAUGCAUUGAAUUAUAUGUUUGUGGUACUAUGUACAUGAUGGUGUUAUGCUUCACGAAAUUAUAUUGCAUGCUAUGUAUAUGCAAUGACCUAAAACAUAUGUCUAUGAUGUUUGAUGACAUUGUAAUGAAUGGUAAAUUGGUGUUAAAGAGUGAUAUUACAUGGAAUGUGCGAUUUUUGUUACGAAUAUGCAUGAUGAGAUUUGAUGUGGUAAAACUUCCGGUUGAACCGUAAGAAUAGAUCUGAUAUCCAUGCCAUGAUACUAGGGUUAUGUGUGAGCCAGUGUAAGACCAUGUUUGGAACAUGGCAUCGACAUUGUUAUGAGAGCUAGUGUAUGACCAUGACUGGGACAUGGCAUCGGCUUCAAUAUGCGAGCCAGUGUAAGACGAUGUUUGAAACAUGGCAUUGACAUUGUUAUGUGAGCCAGUGUAAGACCGUGUCUGGGAUAUGACAUCGGCACCGAUGUAUGAGAGCCAGUGUAAGACCAUGUCUGGGACAUGGCAUCGGCACUGAUAUAUGAGAGCCAGUGUAAGACCAUGUCCGGGACAUGACAUCGGAAUUUUACCCUUUUGUAUGCGGCUUAUCGGCUAUCCUUUAGUAUUCCAACUGGUUCAACGAGUGAUUUAAAGAUUGUGUCAUGAUUGAGAAAAGUUAUGAUUAUGUUGCAAGUGGUACAGGUAUGUGUGCAAAACUCAUGAAAAAUGAUUUCAGUUUAUGAUGCACUUUUGGUAAGGAUGCAAAUAAGUAAGUCAUGCCCAUGAGAAUGAUCUUGUGAUUAUGGGUCUAUGAUUCUGAUGUAUAAAUAUGUAUUUUUACCAUGAUGGUUGAAAUGAUUUGUAAAGGUUUUAUAAACUUAGUCAUCAUUAUUUUACACUAAAACAGUUUUGGACAGCAGCAGUAGUCCGACUUUGAAAAUUCACCAAAAAUUUUGGAAAUUUAGUUAGAGGUUGAAUAAAAUAUGAAAUUAAAGCUUAUCGAGUCUAGUUUCACAUAGAAGAAAUGGUAUAACAAAUAAAUUUCAUGUUAUGAGAUAUUUGGAUUUCUGUGAAAAAGGGUUAGAGUGAUUUUGGGUUCCCUUGUCUUAACUUUGGAAAAUCAUUAAAAAUUGUAUGAAAAUAAUUAUGGGUUAGAAUUCAUAUGACUGAAUCCUUAAUGAGUUUAUUUUCAAUAUAAAUAGACAGAAACAUUAUUGGAAUCCCAUAUUAUGAGAUAAUUAAUUUUUAGUAAAGAAAGGUCGAAGCUGUCAAACACCAGAAUAGGGGUAAUUUUGAAGAAUAAACUGUACUUAUUGACUAAUCCAUAAAUUCUGAAAAUUUUAUGGUAGAAAGAUAUAUGAGUCUCGUUUAAAAUUAUUUUAGCGGAUCUUAAUUUAGAAUUCUUUAUCUCAAUUUAUCAAUAAUUUAGUGACUAUGGCUCGUGUAGACAACUUGGAUGGAAUAUGAAUAAAUAGUGGAAUUAUGUGCAAUUAUGAUUGUGUUACCUUGAGAACAUGUUGUGAGAAUAUGGAAAAAACAUGUAAAUAAAUCACUUAUUAUUUUCAUAUGGACUUAAUAAGCUAUAUAGCUUACCCCUUCCUUUUUCCUCAUGUUAUAGGGUCACUAAGCUAGCUUGGGUUGGAGAUCGUCAGAGAUUCUAUCACACUAUCCAACUAUUGAAGGGUAUAAAUGAUUUCAAGCACUUUAAGUCUAUGGCAUGUAUAAGACUUAGUCAAUUAGGUAUGUGUCAUUUGAUUUGGCCAAAUGUAUUGGCCCAUAAUUGGAAUAUGAUUCAUUUUGUUUAUGGCCAUGUGACGUGGCUCAUAUUGGUUAUUUGGUUGUAAACCUAUCCAUAUAUGCAUA
rnacentral:lncRNA from 1 species